UACGAAGGGUGCAAGCGUUACUCGGAAUUACUGGACGUAAAGCGUGCGUAGGUGGUUCGUUAAGUCUGAUGUGAAAGCCCUGGGCUCAACCUGGGAAUUGCAUUGGAUACUGGCGAGCUAGAGUGCGGUAGAGGAUGGCGGAAUUCCCGGUGUAGCAGUGAAAUGCUUAGAUAUGACAUGGAACACCAAUUGCGAAGGCAGCUUACUACACAGUUAUUGACGCUGAGGCACGAAAGCGUGGGGAUCAAACAGG
rnacentral:rRNA from 1 species